rnacentral:rRNA from 1 species
CCUACGGGAGGCAGCAGUGGGGAAUUUUGGACAAUGGGGGCAACCCUGAUCCAGCAAUGCCGCGUGUGUGAAGAAGGCCUUCGGGUUGUAAAGCACUUUUGUCCGGAAAGAAAUCCCUUGCCCUAAUACGGCGGGGGGAUGACGGUACCGGAAGAAUAAGCACCGGCUAACUACGUGCCAGCAGCCGCGGUAAUACGUAGGGUGCGAGCGUUAAUCGGAAUUACUGGGCGUAAAGCGUGCGCAGGCGGUUUUGUAAGACAGGCGUGAAAUCCCCGAGCUCAACUUGGGAAUGGCGCUUGUGACUGCAAGGCUAGAGUAUGUCAGAGGGGGGUAGAAUUCCACGUGUAGCAGUGAAAUGCGUAGAGAUGUGGAGGAAUACCGAUGGCGAAGGCAGCCCCCUGGGACGUCACUGACGCUCAUGCACGAAAGCGUGGGGAGCAAACAGGAUUAGAUACCCUGGUAGUCCACGCCCUAAACGAUGUCAACUAGUUGUUGGGGAUUCAUUUCUUCAGUAACGUAGCUAACGCGUGAAGUUGACCGCCUGGGGAGUACGGUCGCAAGGUUAAAACCUCAAAAGGAAUUGACGG